GGGCAUGAAGUUAGCAAACGCUGUUGGAAAAGUGCCACCAACAGACUAGCUCCAAGCAGGAUUGCCACAAACCUUCAAUUUGCAAAGACAUGCAUUCCAGGUGAAGCACGAUCAAACAAGGUAGGCCGGUAUAAUUGUUAUUGUUUUCUUAUCUCUGGGCAUCAUGUUAGACAAUUAAAUACAUACUAUGAUACUUUUAUAACACCAACACAUGGAUGUAUCGAUCAACUUCUGAUACUGUUUUACACUAUAGCAUAUGUAAAUACAAUUGGUUUAAUUGAGUUUAGAAAUUCUUUUGUCUCUGCCUUUUCUAAAGCAUCGUAUAUGCCCUACUUCCUCAAACUGCCCAUGAUGCUGACUUCAUUCUAUCUAUUGACUGGAAUAUAUCUAGCUUUAUAAUCCUCAUCUAUCUUUGUAGAUAGAAAUUUGUCAGAUUAGUUUAUGUAUAAUGAUUCCUUUUUAAGACAAUUUAAGUGAAUUAAAGUCAAAUAAAUUUUAGGGAGGCCUGAAAGUGGCUCAAAGUCAUACUGGUCCCCAAAUAUUUAGGAAAUCCUAAUUCUAAACUGUUAACAUCUUGAUGUGAUACCAAGACCAUUUACAAAGGCUCUUUUUGUUAAUUAGUUUGUGGGGUGCUAAGUGAGUUAUUUAGUAAUGAUUAUCAAUAGUUAAAUAUUUCACUGUGAAAAUAGAAUAAUAAAUAAUACUCCUCUGGUCUUAAUAAUAGUCACAAGUGCAUUCAUUCAACAAAUACUAAAGUCCUUCUGUGCAUAAAGGAUCAUCCAAUGUGUUGGGGUCUUUGAAACAUUGUGAUCCAAUCUGACGAGCUCCAAGUCUUGUUGGGGAGCGACAGAGAAAAAGAUUUGAUAAUAUAAAGUUAUCAAUAAAGGGCCAUGAAUGCAGAGAAGAGGGAUUAGAAAUCUAAAAAGACUGUCUUUCUUUUUUUUAAUUUACUUUUUACUUUUUAAUUAAUUAAUUAAUGAAUUAAUUAAAAUUCAAGUUAGUUGACAUACAGUGUAGUAUUGCUUCCAGAAGUAGAACCUACUGACUCAUCACUUACAUAUAACACCCAGUGCUCACCCAAUAAGUGCCCUCCUUCAUGCCCAUCACCCAUUUAGCUUAUCACCGCACCCACUUCCCAUCUUGCAACCCCUAGUUUGUUCUCUGUAUUUAGUCCUAACUUUCCAGGACUUAAGGGCAAGUCCUAAGAAAGGGGAAAAGGAGAGGUACAGCAGGGGCUUUGAGAUGGAAAUCACAUAGCUCUUAUAGGGCAAACACACGGGGAAAUAGGGCAAGUUAAUUAUUGUGAAUGGAACACAGUGGCCCCCAGGGUACCUCAUGGAGAGGAUGGAAAGAGGUUGGAGUUCUAAUCCAGGAAACUCUAUCUAUCUAUCUAUCUAUAUCUUCUGUAGGCAAUGAAGAUCUAGCAAAAUAUGUCUAACAGAAGAUCAACAAAGAUAAAUUUUGGUUUUGAAAUUAUCUUUUGCAGAAUACAGAAUGCAAAUUAGGUAGAACAGAGAGAAUGAGGCCACAGAGGAACUUAGAAGGGUAUCAUGAUGACACAGGAAGAAAAAAGAUGAGGGCUGAACUAAGACAUCUGCAUUAGAGAUGAGAAAGGGAUCCAGACUCAAGACAAAUCCCAAGAUAAAACAAAGAUGACUUGGACGCUAGAUGGAUAUGGAGCAUGUGCUAGGGGUUGAGAAUAACAUCCAACAGACAGAGGAAAAUAGUGUGUGUGUGUGUGUGUGUGUGUGUGCGCGUGUGUGUGAGAGAGACAGACAGACAGACAGAGACAGAUAGAACAGGGGGGAGUAGCAAGGAUGUUCAGAGACGUUCAAGGGUUGCCUGGAUAUGGCAGCUAAAAGAGAGUGCUGAUGGGAAAGAACAUGGAUUUAGAAGUCAAUAUCAGAUAGAUGUAACCGAGGACACGAGCUUGUAUCUGAUCACUCAUAGGGAAAGCAAGAAGAAGAGAGAAGACCAAGGGCAGAUCCCCAAGGAACACUAACAUUUAAGGAUUUAGUGGGAGAAGAGAAUCCAGCAAAGAAGGAGCAAGCAGAGCAGAAUGAUCUGGAAGGAGCCAGAAGUGGCGAUCUGGAAGGAGCCAGAAGACUUCCCAGGAAGCAGAGCCUGCUGUUGUCUUGAGAGACAAGGCUGCUACCAAGGAGUUAACUCACUGUCGUUCACCGCUCUUUCACAAUCUCCAGAAGUGCUAGCGGAAUGAGAACGUUCCCAUGAUAGAGAUGGCAGAAGAGGGGAAGAGAGAAGGAACAAGGGGCUUAGAUAACUCAUAAAUGAGUCAUCAGCCCAUAAACAAGAAAGAGUCAGCAAUAUGACCAUGCCUGCUGAAAUAAAGGAGCAAAAAGAGCUCUCAAUUUUGAGAAGGUGUCCCUAAGAAUUGAGGCAGUGUGGUAAUUUAAACAGUAGCUCUGGAACCCCCUGCGAGCACGCUGGUAUACCUCAAUAAGUCUUUGUUGAUGGAUGAGCUUGGCUAUGAAGAAAGCUGCUUAGGAGUUACCAUCUCCACAACAGGCAAAGUAAUUGAGGAUCUGCCUACAAGUAAGUACGUGCCAGAAAUGGGGUGUCCUAAAACAAAAGUCUACUAAUUCUUCUCCCCUUUAGGGCCUUUUAAAGGUCAUUGAAUAUAUUACAUUAACAAACUUUAACUUUGAGACCAAAAUUAACAUCUUGGAAAGAAACUACUGUUACUCUUAAAACUGUAUAAAAUAUCUUUCCUUUCUAGAAAUUACAGCACCAUGGAAAUGAAUCAUCUGAGAUUCUGUCUUAAGAAGUAUAGAUGGCAGUUUAAGUAUAGCUCUCUAAAAAGAAGCAGCUUUUCCUCCAUCAUCUUACUAGUUAAUCUUCCUGGGAACAGGCUGAUAUUUACUCAUCCCAAGAGAGAGUUGAAUUGUCUGGACUCCAAAAGAUACCAAGGAUAAGGUUUUAAGUUCCCCACUAUUAGUCAUCACAUGGAGAAAAGUGACAGAGCUCUUUACAGAUGCAUUGCUUUUUCUUUGCCCUUAAAAUGGCAGUUGAAACAACAUUCAAUGGAUUUAAAUUAGGAAAUGUCAGUAAAGAAUGCUCUCCCUUCCUUAAAAGUGAUCGGUUCCCCGGGUAAGAUGUGAAAUACUUUGCGGUCUCUAGACGACAGGAUCAGAUAGGCGAACAAUGCACUCGAGAGCUUUGCAAAGAAACAUUAGACAAAAUAGAUCAGGUUAAAGUGGACACAAACGCCCAACAGCAAAUUCUAAUUAUUUUCAUUCCCAGCCUUGAAACAAAGAGACAAUUUAAAAAAUAUAUACAUACGUAUAGAGUAUGUAUAUAUACGUGUAUACACAGUGAAGGUAUUUCUCCUUCAUUUGAUUUACUAUUGAUGCUCAGAAUUUCUCUGUAGCAUAGUACAUAAGCAGACUAAUAACUGAAUAAUAAAAAAUGAAUACUUUUUAAGGCGCAUUUCCUGCCUAGGUCUUUUAAGGCCAUGCCCAAGUUAUUCUGGUAAACUGAUGUUGUGGAUGAAACCCAGGUUUCCGAGUCCAGAAAUUAUGGGUUUUAAUUCCAGCACCCCCAUUUCUAGGUGUCUAGAUCCUAGACAAGCUACCGAACUUUUCUGAGCUUCAGUUUUGAAAAAGUCUGUGAAAAGGAAAAAAGAGCACUAACUUUUUGGGUUCUUAGGAGGAUUAAAUGUGAUAAGGGAUGUUACACCCUCUGGAAACAUUAGCUCUCAUUUUCCUCUAUGGGUUCCUAUUCUUUCUGUGAAAGCAUACACCAAAAUAGGACGCAGUUGUGAAUGUUGGUAAGCCAUGAACCCAGUUCCAAGGCAGAAGGUUUAAAUAACCAAGAAAACUCCAGGAAUUGUUGAUGCAGCUAUCUUCCAGAUGAGAAAUGCUCACAGUCAUGGGGAACACACUGUACACUUGCUUCUAGAUCCUUGGCCGAAAUUUCUGUCUUGAAUAGCAGUGGUUGGCUACCCACGCUACCCUCUAAAGGCGGCUAUAUUUUAGUAGCUGUCAAAUAGCUGAUGCAUGCUAAAAACUACAGAAAGUUGCCUUUUCCUCCUUAAAUUCUUUUUUUUUUUAAUUUUUAAAUGUUUAUUUAUGUUUGAGAGAGAGAGACACACACAGAGACAGAGCUCAAGCAGGGGAGGGGCAGAGAGGGGGGGAGACAUAGAAUCCAAAGUAGGCUCCAGGCUUCGAGCUGUCAGCACAGAGCCCAACACAGGGCUCGAACUCACGAAUGGUGAGAUCAUGACCUGAGCCAAAAUCAGACGCUUAAUUGACCGAGCCACCCGGGCAUCCCAGCUCUUUAGGUUAAUUGCAUCCAUGUGCACAGAAAUGACCCAAAUAAAUAUGCUUUAACCUUUCAGGAUAACUGAGAUUUUGAACUCAGGUCCAGUUUAGAAGUAGAGGCUGAAGAUUUUGAAAGAAUUGUGUGCCUUUGGAAGUCGGGUACGGGUUUCCUUCUCUAGAGAAUCUUGGAUAAUUGAGCUUGGGUCUCGCUGUUCCCUCAUUGCCUUUGCUUCACAAAUCAGAAAGACCUAGCCUAUAAGAGACAUGCCUCCAUGUGCCUCUUUUCUGUCCUAGGAGCUAAGAAAAGCUGCCCCAGGACCUGCUGCUUGUAGCUCAUGAAAUCAUGAGUCAUUUGUGUAGCAAAAUGAUUCGCCACUUAUGUCUGUACAAAGUUGAAAAGGGGAUGGGCUGAGGAUGGGGCAAUUCAAGUGCAGAAAUAAAUGCUCUAGGAGGGGCACGGGCUCCUUAAGCUGCUGGAACAGGAUACUGGGUUCACAGUUCUCGGGUCCUCAGCAUUCCCGUCCUCCUAAGCAACACGUCUUCCUGAAGCCUUACAGCCUCAUGAUAGCAGCAUAUGACACAGAACAUUUCGGGUCACAGAGUGCUCUCUCUUCCACUUCCUGUUGUUUUUACUUGUGUGCUUUGUUUCUUGUUUUCAAAGGUAUUUACUACCACCUCUAUUAGCUGUUCCUAAAUGAGCCACUGGUCAGUGAUUCCUCUGGUGAAUACACAUUGUUAUUCUGUCUUCGGAGAUGAGGAAAUCUGAGGGAGGAAAUGGUCAGUGGCCUUUUCGUUGUGGUGCAGAAAGGUGGAAGCAGACUGUCUCAGUGAGCAGUUCACUGACUGGCCCACUGAACCUUGCUGCCACCUGGACAUGCCCGGCUCCCCACCCCCCACACUUCCGCCUCCACACCUGCUGCCGAACAUGGCCCAGCUGCACCAUCAGCCCUGGGCUGCCUCGGCUCCUGCCUGCUCCUCCCUCCACUCAGCCCAUUGCUUUUCACCCUUGAACCUUCUAUCCUCCAUAAUCAAAUGGCACUUCCAAAUCCAGAAACUGAAAAGCCAUGGGUUUCAGAACACACGAAGGCAAUGAGGAUGCUUUCUAGCUUUGAGCUUUAGGACAAAAGGGACUCGGGGAAAUAUUUCAUAAAAUUAUAAAAGAAGAACAGGAAAGUUCAAGGCUAACACAAGUACUGCAUAUAGUGAGGCAGAGUUACAUACUCAAUUUGCUAAAAAAAAAAAAAAAAAUAUUUAGCAUCAUCUUUGCAGAUCCGUGUGUAUCCAGUCCCCAAGAACACCACAGACAAUGUCUGUGAAUUCCUUUUAGGCAUGCCUCCUAGGGCAGAGGAAGAAGGUGUAAAACUAGAUACUGGAAGAAGAGCCCGCCGUUGCCUAGAAUGAAGAAUGGGAAGAAUUUAACCUACUUUUCAACAUGAAGCCUUCACUCAUUCUUGGCCUUCUCUUUGUCGUCUGUCUCGACUUCUCUGUCCUAAGGUCUAUGUCCCCGGUGGACCUACCAGGAAGAGGGGGCCACUGCCUUAUUCCAUCUAAAUGCCUCUGUCAAAGCCCACCGCAAAUUUUACCUUCUCCACGAAACCUUCCUGCCGAAUUUGACUCUCGCUGCUCUCAACUAUUAGGGUGUUUAUUGCUGGUGCAUUAAGUUCAGAGCUUUGUAAUUUAGAUGCCGUGCGUGGCUAUGUCUCUGGCACUGUAUUUGUCUCAACUCUUCCCCCACCCCCACAGUGUCCAGGCCAACGGCACAUUCCAGUUACCCAUUUGCUGAACAAAUGUUUAUCGAUCAUCCAUGUGUGCCUUGUAUCAUAUUCCAUUAUGAGAAUAAAAAGCGGAAAAAGACACAGUUCUUGGUCUCACUGAGAUAGGAAAGCAGAGAAACAACUCACCGGAAUCCAGUGUUCUGUGCUUUCUCCUGCAGAGUAUGAAUACAAGGCUAAAGGCUAAAGCGACACAGUGGAGGGGCACUCAAGUCUAGGCGAUCCUGGGGAGCAGAGGUCAGAAGGUGAUUUUUGAAUUAAGUUUUGAAGAAUAAGCCGACAUUCAGCAGGGAGACAAAAGGGCAGAGGGGAAUCCCAGCAGGGACAGGAAGAUAUGCAAACGUGAACAGGCAUACAGGGGGCCAUGUAGUGAAGUGUGCAGGGAAUUGCAGGUAUGCCUGGAGACCAGGGAAUGUGAGAGCAAGCUGGUGGGGGUGUGGAAUGAAGAGCCCGACUAGUACCCUGUUUAAACAGAUGCAUGAAUGCACCCAACAUAGUCACUUUACUCAUUGCUUAUUACGUUAUAUUGCUCUUCCUCUUAAAAUAUGAGAAUUCACUUAGCUAUUUUACAAUUUGUCAGUCUGUACCUCUAUGUCAUUGAAAUACUUCCCUUGGUCCCAGGAAAGCCAGUGAAGGGGAGUGAGAAUGUUCAUUCUCUGCACAUACUACAGUAUUCUACAAACACAAGUGCACUGUCCACCUAAAGACUAAGCCAUCGUACGUCAUGACGAUGUUAUGCCAGGGUGCUGACGGUACAGGUCACACAGCGCUAAGUGCUGCCCUGCACUGUUCCCACUCAGGGCACAGUUAGUAGUUAGGCUCUGUGAGAUGCCAUAUUUAAAGCUGAUGCUUUGAUCCAAAGAACACCAUCCACUGACAACGUAUUCCAGCAUCUCCCCUCACUGGGAUAUCUGGGCUUCUGCUUCCAUGGUUCCCUUCCAAUUUUACAGACCCAACCUUUACGUCCUCUCUUCUUGAAGGUAAGAAUAUGACAGGUCAGAGACGAUAGCAGGAGUGGACGAGGGUGAAUAAUGGCUGGCAACUUUCCAGGUGAUUACAGCGCUGAGAACAUGUCACCCUAAUGGAGUGCUAUAUCUUUUGAUAACCUCUGCCUGCUUCAGAUACGUUACAAACAUGAGACUUAACUAUGUAGCCACUGCAUUAAUUUAUGCAUCGAUUUCUUGACUGCUCAUUCUUAGAGGUAUUAACCCAGUGUAAUUCAGUACUUCCUUGGUAAGCCUUCCAUAGGAAGAUUAAAACAAUUUUAGCGAUUAUAAACUAUCUAGGUUUAGCAGAUGCUGGUACUCUAUGGGAUUGUGACCUGAAAGGAUUUAUGUCUAAAUGUGAUUUAAAGUCUCUCCCUCUCCAAGACUUCAUUUUACCUUUCAUGCUUUCCAGUCUCUCAAAGUGCAUUAUUUCUCUUUAGAAUAGUUUAUCUUACUUAAUAAUUACACACGAGAUAGAUGUUAAAUAGGUAAAUAUAUUUGCUUUCUGCAUUUGGUGUGUUUGUAUUAAUUUUGGAUUGUUUUGGAAAUUGCACUAGAAAAAAAAAUGUUUCAGUCUGCCUUCUGCAUGUUUCCACAGCAGUGUCAGUGACAGAAGGCAGCUGCAGCAUUGACUUUAACUUGGUUUAAAGACUGAUAUUUGACUCCAACUUUAAAAAUGAUCGUCGUACUUAAAAUUUAAUCUGAAGGCAUAUGCCUCCUCAGCGAACCCCACUCAAUUGUCAUCUUUAAUGGGGGCAUUACUCGGAAAUCCAGUUUUCAGCAUGUCCUUUUUUGUCCUCAGGGUACAUGUCCUGAAAUGUAUUUUUAUCUUGAUGCAGAGUAAACGAGUUACUUGGGUCAACCCUGACCAUUAUUUUAAGGGCAGGAUUUCUUGAAUGAAUAUGCCAGGUAUAAAAACAGAUUCUAUAUCGGUUCCACAAGAUUGUCUUGUGAUGCAACUCUUUUUCUGCUCCAUUGGUUUCAUGUUAAUAGGGAACACAUCUCAUGGGGGUGUGUAGCCCUAUGAUGCUUGUUCUUUUUUCUUUUCUUUCCUUUUUUUUUUUUUAAAGCUGAUUUGAUGUUUUCAGUCAGAGUAGUAUUUUCAUAUGCCAAAUAAAUUCAGAUCUCAGAAUUUUUCCCCCAGUUUCUAUCGGAAUACAGUUUUCAGAAAAAUAUAGAGGCCUGAUGAAAUUUGAAUUUUGAUAAACGACAAACACCUUUUUUUUAGUAUAAGUGUAUCCCCUUCAAACCUUGGGACAUACUUGUACUAAAAGAUUACUUGUUGUUUGUCUGAAAUUCAAAUUUAACUGGGCCUCCUGUAUUUGUAUUUGCUAAAUCUGGCAAUUCCGUAUCUGGGGGCAGUUGAAUUAUGAUCAGCAUUACAUUAUCUCCAGAUUGCAGGUCUGCAAAAUCCCCAAGGGACCAUUCUUUUCAUGGGUAUGUGCAAAAGUGGAGAUUGUUCCACAGGCCAUUCCCAGAGGCUCCAUGGAGCCAUCUGGUUUGGGGUCUCAUGGAUCUAGACACUGGAGAUUAACCAGUCCCUCCUUUAAAGAACGUUUAAAAGCUUUAAAGCAACAAAAAUAAUGCCCUUCACAUAGUGGGCACUCAAUGUAUUUACUUCUGUUGAUAUCUUUAGUGUUCAUUAGCGCCAGGCAAGAUGAGGACCUCUUACAAACAGCUCCUAAGUAACCCUCAGUUCUCAAUCCAAGCACUUCCGGUUCUUCGGAAACCAGACGUAAAUUCUACCUUGUUUGAGAGGGCUUCUCACCCAACCUCAGACAUGAGUCCUCCACCACCCACCUCUCUAGCAUUUAUCAUUUAUUCCACUCAUUUGGCGUUUCACAUGUCCUGCUUAACAUUUCAACCAAACUUUCAUUUACAAAUCCCCCGAGGAAAAAAAUGUAGAUAGCGGUAGCAAAGCGCUGUGAUUUACAGCAUGAGUCCCGGAGUCUCCGUGCUGGUCUCAAAUGCUGUUCUGCCUCUUCUCGCCUUUGUAACGUCUCACAGACACAUCCGCUAAGCCUCAGUUAAUUAUUUUUAUCCCUCAAGAAAACGGGGUUAAUAAUACCUCCUAGUAUUGUUGUAUUAAAUGAGAUAAUGGGUAACUCUUGGCAAACACUGAAUGGUGGUGGGUAAUUACCAUCACCAUCACCAUCAUCAUCAGCCUCAUCACGUUAUCUUUCUUGAAUCCACACUCCCUCCAGUAUCUCUUAUCAGGCCCUAUGUGAACUGACUGAAGAAUCACGCUGGAGAGCUGGUAGAGACUCCAAAUUCCCAGCUGCACUUGUGCUGAAAAGCACUGUCUGGAGACAGAUGAGCGAGUCUCACUCGUUCUGCAAGGUAGCGAUUUCACUUGCUUAAUUCUCGAUUUCUCUGUACUCCUUGAAACCUACACAUUUAAACCACGGCCUUGUGUUCUGCUUGGGAUUAUGUGAGAAGCAGGAAAACUUUAACUGCCUUACAGAUUUGUUUCCUUCGUGGCACCAGCCUGGGGAGCCCUCCUGGGACUCGUGUCACCACACACUUCCUGCCUUACCCUUUAUUAUUUGCUGCCUCUUGAUUUUUCUCUCAGUCAUCAGUGAGGAAGUUGCAUAACUUAAAAGCUAAGUGGGAGCUGCUUUCCUGUAAUCUGUAGUCAUACAUAUUCUUUUUCCUUAGGGUAACUUUUAAAAGAAAUGUCAUGCAAAGUGCUCUUCUGAAUGAAAACUGACUUUUUUUUGGCAUUUGGAGCAUGUGCUAGAUUGGGUUUUCAACAUCUUAUGUCCACAUACAGUAUAAUCAAUAGAGUCACUUGGAGAAACAGUAUGGUUUUCUUAAUAUCGGAACAUGUUAAAAAAAAAAAAAACAACCCAAAAUAUAAGUUUCCAUGACUUCCUCUGAGUUCUCUACUGGCUUUUUCCAAAGAUCAAAUUCGUAAUGCUUAGCAUAAGAAAUAAAGAAAUGAAAGAAAAAAGCAUUUUGGGUCAUGCGUUCAUCAUCGGCAUAACACUUUCAAAACUAUAAUCUCUCAGAAGGUUCUGGCAGAAACCCAUUCAUCUUUGUAUCAGGACCCAGCACCUUUUUUGUCACAGGUACCCAACAGUAUCUGUUGAGCCAACUAAUGAACAAGUAUUUAUUGAGCACUUAGGAGAUUCAUUGCCCACUUGUGGUAUAGUGUUAGUAUCACUGUGAUCAUUAGUAAAUAAUGAUAUCAAGCCAGUGGUAUAAGCUGUGGGGGUCUGGGUGAGAGAGUUUACAGUGUCUGAUCGUUUAGAAUUCACAGCAAUCGGCCUUGCCGUUCCCAUUGUUAGCCCCAGAGAACAACACGUUCCCACGUUCCCACCUAUCUUGUUUUUAUUGAUUAACCACUUUAAAUUCAUUCUGAACCCAUCAAGGCUCAGAAACGGCCCUGGGCCUUUCCUUCUCUGGUGUCCAAGGUGGCCCCAUGAGCCCGAUCCCGAUCCUGCAGGCUUCGGCCUGGCCCAUCUGUUCUGGAGCCCCUGUCAUCUUGGGAACAGUGCAACACUGUGGAGGCCAGGCUGUACCCAAGGUUAGAGACCCCGCCUUUAAAAUUGCUAGUCUGGGAAAAGCGGGAAAUACUGUUUCAAUUAGAAGGAUAAAACAUGGACAGCCAUGAACCACUUAAGAAGUUGCAUACUACUUGUCUUUAACCACAAAACCAAAAUCACCAUUUAGCUCUGCUUCUGCACAGCAUAGGGAAGAUCUGAGUGGCAGCCCAGUUGAGCUAUUUCUUUUCCUAUUUAUUUAUUUAUUUAUUUAUUUAAUUUAUACUGUUCUCUGGCCCUGAUUCUGCUAUUGAAGACUUCCAAAGUCUCAGGGUACUUCAGUGUUAAUAGAAAACAAGGAACCAUGGCCACAUUUGCAGAUGGGAAUAUGGAAGAACCAGGUCCGUAUACAUAGGAGCCCGUCGCUUGGACAGCAGGAAUGAGUGAGGUUUCCAGAACUGCUUUUCAGGUGUUUCCAUUCUUGACUGGUUUUCAUUCCCUCUUUCCAAUGUGUCAUUCCCUUGUGUUUCACCUCAUUUCCUCCCAGUUUCCGUCUCUACUUGGUCCCAUAUUCGUUUGGAUCCUCGUAAUCUCCCUUUUUCUCCUGGUACAAUCUGGUGACUUUAUUGAAACCAGACUGUUUCAUAAUGAGAAAUGUUCACAGGUAAAGUCUUCCUGCUGGCAGCCUCUCCCUGCAGUACCCACCCCCUGACCUGUAGUCUCACUGCUGUAAACUGAAGAGUGCUGAGUCACGUGUGAACGAUGAUCAAGGAACCACGCCAGCCAUGGCACCUUAGUCUUGCACCCAAGAGAAACACCAACACGACUGUCACACACAUUUGGAGUUGAGCGCUCAGUGCUGCACAGCGUCACGAGUCAUUCCAAGCCUCUGCUCUUGUGAGCAUCUCUGUUCAGGCCCCAGUGGGGAUGCGUCUGCAUACCUCCUGCUCCGUGUCAAAAUAUAUUCAAGUUGUGCACAUUUGAAUAAAGUUCCAUUUCACUUUUAAUCCUUUAAAAUCUAAAGUUUAGAUCACUAUGGUCAACAGAAAACAAGUUACAUGAAAAUCUUUGUUGUGACAGCAAGACUAGGGAUUUGCAGAAAUGAAGGCAAAUAAAUAAAUUUUAUAGAUUAAUCAAUAAUUUACUAGUUGUAUAUAACCUAAUUUUAUUGUUCAUGGAAACAUCACCAACUCCCCAACAGAAUAUCCAGGCAUGCACAAUAAUAAGUCAAUUCAGUCAUCAGAUAUUUUGUUGACUUUCAGUCAUAAAAAAAACAUAGUUUUCCAUAUAUUUUUCCAUUUUGUAAUUAUGCACAUAUAUUUGUCAAGGUAGGAAGAUAGGGAAUAUUUAACUGUUUGUUAGCCUGAUUUAUAAUUUUUAAAUAUUUAGACAUAUGGUACAUUGGUUUCCAUCUGUCUUGCUCUGAGCCCUGCAAAUGUUUAGGGACGGGUCUGCUCAGGUAUUUUCCUUUUGUUGUAGCUUACAAAGCUUACAAGAACAGCUUACUGUUCUUUUGAACUAUUUCCUUUUGGUGAUUGGUUUAGGUACAACAGAACUGGAUGCCCCCCCCCCCCGCCCACCCCAGCAAUUUAUUGUAUGUUUUCAAUAAGUAGUUUGGUUGACAGGUAGGGAUAAAAAAGUAAGAGACAAGAAUACCGAGUUCUUUGGGCCUCAUAAUUAGUUUCCCAAACCAUUUCUUGACAACCCAUGUGUACUCUUCGACACAUUCCCAACAUUUUAUUCAAAAUAUAUUAAGGGAAGAGUUGCACAUGUGUGUUAAGAACACGGAGCUUUGGAGUCAGACAACCCUAGAUUUGAAUUUUAACUCUACAGCUCACUAGCAGGUGAUUUAUUUCAACAAUUUGAUCCUUAGUUUCUUGAUCAGUGAAAGGUGAUGAAAAUACCUACACCCAUAAGGUUGCACCGAGGACUAGAGAUAACACAUGUAAAAUGCUCACCACACAGUAAGCAUAAAUAGUUACUAUUAUUGAAAUGUCCACAUUUUAAUUCUCGAAGUAUCAGUCUGCUCAUUCAUUCAAUAAUCCUCCUGUUCAAAACCCUUUGGCAGCUCUCCGCUGCCCAGAGUGUACCUUCUCAUCGCUUGUACCUUCUUGACUCCAGCCUACCAGUCUUAAAUUCCCGCAUUCCUCUCGGCUGUGGCCAUCCCGGGAGACCUCCAUGUUCCUUCCUCUAUGUCCUUACGACCACAGUCCCAUCUGUUUGGAUGGCCUCUCAUCAUUUUAGGCCCAGUUCAAAGGGCACUUCUUGUAAGAAGCCUUUUCAUUCACCAGUGUCAAUUAACUUUCUUCUCCCUGCAGUCCCAGAGCCCAGGCUCUGUGGCUGUAUUAGAAAAACCAUUACCAUGAACUUGAUAUUGUAUCAAAUUUGCAGUCUGUGUCCAUCAUGUCUGCUCUACUGUCAGUUUCUUUGGGAUAGAUUGUCUCUUUUUCAUACACUCCCUUCCCACAGGCAUGUAACAUAGUACUUGGUACAAAAUAGAUGUUCUUAAUUUGUUUAAAUUUGAAUUUGUUGAGAUCUACUUCCGUGGUGUCAGAGGUACUGAAGGCAUUAUUUCGAUUCUUCAAGUACUGGGGAUUCUUGUUCUCAUGACUACGAGAUUUUGUAAAAAAUGGCAUGACUUACACUUUGUAAAACAAUUUGCUAAUUUCCAGGAAAAGCACUUUGUCUAAAAGCACUUCUUAUUGACAAAUGGAACAUUGUGAUAUAUUGUGCCACUUAAGAAAAGCAUGCAAUUCAUGCUAAUAUGUUGGAGAGAUUUCAAUAUUUAGAUAUUUCAAAUGUCCACUACUUCUCUGAUACGCCUCCCUUCCAAGGUAGGACCUAAUUAACCUCCUUUUGAAUGGCUUGACUUAAUGAA